CGCGGCCCGGUUCGGCCCCGCUGCAGCGGCCCCGGCGCUGCGGGCUGACGGCGCCCUUGGCCGUGCCGCCAUGAGGGCCGAGGUGGCGGGGACUCUGCAGCGCCGGCGGGCACAGUCACUCUUUCCUGCUGUUGAGAUGCCAGGAUCACAGCUACAAUGGAAUAGGAAGAAAAGCUGCGCAAGUAAGAUUCUGCAUUGUCACAAUCAGAUAAUCAUUCCUACUUAG
rnacentral:lncRNA from 1 species